UACGGAGGGUGCAAGCGUUGUCCGGAUUUAUUGGGUUUAAAGGGUGCGUAGGUGGCCUUAUAAGUCAGUGGUGAAAGUCUGCCGCUUAACGGUAGAAUUGCCAUUGAUACUGUAGGGCUUGAGUACUGAUGAGGUAGGCGGAAUUGAUAGUGUAGCGGUGAAAUGCAUAGAUAUUAUCAAGAACUCCGAUUGCGAAGGCAGCUUACUAAGGAGUUACUGACACUGAGGCACGAAAGCGUGGGGAUCAAAC
rnacentral:rRNA from 1 species